CGAGAUUCCCUUUGCUUCUCCACUAAAUUUUUUUUUGUUGUAUGUUGCACAUCAAUUUCUACUAUAUAUUGACAAGAGAUUGUGGUGUUUGAUGAGUUUUUGCAGUUCUAUAUUUGCUCCGUUGAUUCAGGUAUUUCGGAGUUGGUUGAUCAAUAGCUAGUUGUUUGGGUUUUGCACGUGCUACAGCUAGAGCAUCUGUCAGAGCAGCAGUUGAGGAACCUCCAGUGGCUCAUGUUGGGGGACGGGCAUCGGAGGCGCCUGUUGUUGUCCCUGGACUUCAGGAGACCUUAAUAGUUUUUGAGCAUGUUUGGUACAUUGGCUUAGGCGGGGUUGAUUCCGGUUGCACCGGCUACUUCACAGACCGGGGGAUGAGCUCAGAUUCUCGCCGCCCGCGCCUUAAAGUAGUGGGCUCACAUUAGUCAGGUUCCGGGUGUGGUGCCGGCACUGCCAGUUGUUCCAGUUCAGCUCGUUAUUAGGGUAGCAUCAUCUAAUAAAGAACAACUUAGACUUGCGAGGUUCAAGAAGUAUUACCCUCCGUAGGUUCAUUGAGGGGCUCAGUCAUGAUAUCCGGUUCAACAUGGCUCGGGAGUUGGAGUCAGAUGAUCAAUUUCAGUAGGUGGUAGUGACCGCUCGACGACUAGAGGGCAUGCGAGACCUGGAAGGAGAGGACAUGCGGGGUCAGUAGAGAGAUGACAUGGAGGCUAAGAGGACUUAGCCUCCCAGUUUGGGAGGAUCUACUAGUCCCCAUUUUGGAGGCAGAGUACGCCAUGGUAGAGGUUAUAUGGGUCAGUUAGUUCAGUUUGCACUUCAGGCUUUGCGCGGUGCUUCAGAAAUCAAUGGGUCUCAAAGUGCCUGUGUUUGAUAGCUUCAACAGCCACGCCAACGGAGAGGUUGUUUUAAGUGUGGAUAUACCAGCCACAUGGUGAGAGAUUGUCCCAGACUCCGAACAGAUUUGUCACAGCGGGGUAUUCAUGCUAUGAGUUCUACUCCAGUUGCUGAUAUCCCUACACUUCCAGCUUGAGGUGCAGGUCAGGCGGGUAGAGGGCGCCCAAGAGGAGAGGCACAACCAUUUAUGUGCUUUCUACGGUAGGGAUGAGGCCGUUGCACCAGAUGAUGUCGUACAAGUAUGGUUUCUAUUUAUUAUAGAGGAGCAUCAUUCGUAUUUUAUUUCGGUUCUGCUUAUCAGGAUCCAGGUAUUUCAGAGUUGGUUGAUCAAUAGCUAGCUGUUCGGGUUUUGCCGUGGAGACUUAAGGUAAACCUGUCGUCACGUUCGCAGGCCUUGGAGUCACCUUCUGAUAUUGUACCUGUAUUGUUUAUUUCUAUUCUGAAACAGUU